CUGUUUGUUAAGCUCUAUUAUGAGUUUAAAAGUAAAGAAAUACACAAAAAUGCAUUUUUCCAGUGUAUGAUCCAGUGUAAUGAUAUGAUCCAGUGUAAUGACGCCAAGGCGCGAAACUUUAUAAGAUUAUUCAACUACAUAAUGAAAAUCAUGUUAAAACCACGAGAAGUUAAACUUGAAUCCUAACUUCAUUAGUAUUUUCUCUAAUAGCAUAAUUUUUAAUUUUGUAAAUAUGCAUUAAAGAUGACCUUUAAGCGAAAAUCUAAAAGGAAAGGGAGAAAAAAUGUUAAUUAUACUGAUAUGAGCUCCAAUUGUGAAAGUGAUGAUGAUUUUGAAGUUGAUUUUGAACCACAAACAAAGAAGGCGAAGC